CCUACGGGAGGCAGCAGUGAGGAAUCUUCCACAAUGGACGAAAGUCUGAUGGAGCAAUACCGCGUGCAGGAAGACGCUUUUCGGAGUGUAAACUGCUUUUGUCGUCGAAGAUUAUGACUGUAGACGAAGAAUAAGGACCGGCUAACUACGUGCCAGCAGCCGCGGUAAUACGUAGGGUCCAAGCGUUAUCCGGAAUUACUGGGCGUAAAGCGUACGCAGAUGGCGUAAUAGGUGAGUUGUGAAAUCUUGUGGCUCAACCAUAUAGACUAUGACUCAAACCAUUACACUAGAGGUUGGUAGAGGCAAGCGGAAUUCCCGGUGUAGCAGUGACAUGCGUAGAUAUCGGGAGGAACACCAAUGGCGAAGGCAGCUUGCUGGGCCACACCUGACGUUAAGGUACGAAAGCGUGGGGAGCGAACGGGAUUAGAUACCCCGGUAGUCCACGCCGUAAACGAUGGAUACUAGUGGUAUGGAGAUUCGACCCUCUGUGUCACGAAGCUAACGCGAUAAGUAUCCCGCCUGGGGAGUACGAACGCAAGUUUAAACUUAAAGGAAUUGACGGNUUGAGAGUUGCGAGCGACACGAGGAGAG
rnacentral:rRNA from 1 species